UCUCCGUUGGUGAACCAGCGGAGGGAUCAUUAUCGAGUUUAUAACUCCCAAACCCUAUGUGAACUUACCACUUGUUGCUUCGGCGCGCGCUUUGGCGCCGCCGAGGACACUUAAACUCUUUGUUUUUAUAAGCAUUUCUGAGUGGCCGAAAGGCAAAAUACAAAUGAAUCAAAACUUUCAACAACGGAUCUCUUGGUUCUG
rnacentral:misc_RNA from 1 species